rnacentral:lncRNA from 1 species
CUGGACCCAUAAUUAUAUAUUUCUAUUUAUAAAUGAAUGCCAUGGGAUUUUAUCAUCAAUACUAUGGAUUUGUUAUCACCAUUAUUUCUGUGACCCAACUCAAGGUAUUUGAUAUUUUUAUUGUAAGUCACAGUCUCUAUUAGUGGAUUUUCUAGGUGUGUUGGAGCUCAGUGGCAGCCAGAUGAAUACAGGUUUGGAUCACCGACUGCAGUUCAAAAACCCUCAGAAUAUGUGUAUUGGGGUGACUGAAAUGAUCCUUUGAAGCAACCGGCUUUGACGUUUGGAAAAAAGAAUUAAAAACCAAAAGAAUGCUCUAAUUAAAGAAAACAUCAGUUAAAGCACAAGAAGAAACCUAAGAUUUUGAUCAGUUCUUUCAUGUGUGCCUGACAACUGCACAGCACUAGCAGAGGCCUCAUUAGAGGCUGCUCCCCCAAAAUCCAGAUGGAGGUGCAGAAACACCGCAUGUGAAUUGUUCCUGCCCUGCAGCUUUGCUGGGUGAUCCCCUGUGGCCUGCCUGUGGGUAUUAACGAGGCUCCAAAAGGAGGUUCCUGGUGCUCCUGCUGGUCCUGGAAGCUGCCACAAGCACAGGCUGGAAAGUCAAGCCAUGUCCCCGGAUCACUGGUGAUCAACGCUGGGUGGGACCUGCCUGCAAAUUCGGCAGCUGAAUCAAAGCAGGAACUGUGGGUCCCUGGCAUUCUGGACAAACAUCCUCAGCCCUCAGGUGCACUGUGUAUUCUCAAGGUAAACUCACUGACUGGGAUGAAAAACUUCAGCUCUUCCUGAAGAAUGCUUCACUCAAAAAUUACCCAAUGGUAAGUAACCUUAUGUUCAUUUUGAUGUUUUAGCUACUGCAGAUAUUUUGCAAAAUAUUUAUCAGCUAGAUGCUAUGGCAUCUAGUGAAAACUAAAUAUUUGGUGAAAACUAAAUAUUUCUCACACCAAGACACCAUAUUGGGAUGGUAUUUCACCUACCUAGCAUAAUCACAAAUUAAUCCAGCAAAGUGAGGCUCUGAUGCCAUAAGAGGUUCCUAACAGAAGUUUAGUUCCUCGAAAUACCAUCACCAUUUAAAGUCCUCCUAGCUGGAAUGCAAACUGGAUCAAAUACUUCCAGUAAAUGGUGAUGUCCAGCUGGCACUGGGAGACUGAAGAGACAUGAAGCAUGAGCAGUCCCUGAGACUGUGUGGGUUGAAACCCAUGGUACUGUGACAGAUAUAGUGGCAGUAACACGCAAACACAGCUGGCAUUUGAACUCGCUUAUUGGCACUGCCAUUCCCUCAAGCAGGACAGCUGAAGCAGGUAUGAGAGCAGCGCCCACCAAAUAGCCCAACUAAGCUACGAUUCGAUGUGGCUGAAAGUCAAGGUGGAACUGAUUUUAUAAAACUUCCUUUGGUUUAAACCCUUGCAAGGUGUACUUAAAAUUGCAUAGCUCAGAUCCAAGCUACCCCUCCCAGCCGCGGC